UACGUAGGGGGCAAGCGUUGUCCGGAAUCAUUGGGCGUAAAGAGCGUGUAGGCGGCUCGGUAAGUCCGCUCUGAAAGCCCGGGGCUCAACCCCGGGAGGCGGGCGGAUACUGUCGGGCUAGAGUGCGGAAGAGGCGAGUGGAAUUCCUGGUGUAGCGGUGAAAUGCGCAGAUAUCAGGAGGAACACCAAUUGCGAAGGCAGCUCGCUGGGACGUAACUGACGCUGAGACGCGAAAGCGUGGGGAGCAAACAGG
rnacentral:rRNA from 1 species